GAUGAACGCUGGCGGCGUGCCUAAUACAUGCAAGUCGAGCGAACAGACGAGGAGCUUGCUCCUCUGACGUUAGCGGCGGACGGGUGAGUAACACGUGGAUAACCUACCUAUAAGACUGGGAUAACUUCGGGAAACCGGAGCUAAUACCGGAUAAUAUAUUGCACCGCAUGGUUCAAUAGUGAAAGACGGUUUUGCUGUCACUUAUCGAUGGAUCCGCGCCGCAUUAGCUAGUUGGUAAGGUAACGGCUUACCAAGGCGACGAUGCGUAGCCGACCUGAGAGGGUGAUCGGCCACACUGGAACUGAGACACGGUCCAGACUCCUACGGGAGGCAGCAGUAGGGAAUCUUCCGCAAUAGGCGAAAGCCUGACGGAGCAACGCCGCGUGAGUGAUGAAGGUCUUCGGAUCGUAAAACUCUGUUAUUAGGGAAGAACAAAUGUGUAAGUAACUAUGCACGUCUUGACGGUAACUAAUCAGAAAGCCACGGCUAACUACGUG
rnacentral:rRNA from 1 species